GGGCCCUGCCAGCCCUCCUCCCCGCUGCUGUUUACCCCUCGGGACACACAGGCCUGCGACCUGCGCUUGGAGCUUCCCGCCAGGUCCUGGACCCGGGGUUCGUGUCGCAGCUCCCUACUCUGGGGACCGGGGGGAGGGCGUCACACUGGGGGGCCCACGGGGCGGUGACUCGGGCUCUCUUCCCCUCCUGCUUCCCUCUCCCUAUCCAUCCUCACCUCCUCCUCCACUCUUCCCCCCUCUUCCUGCUCCUCUCUACUCCCUGUCUCCUCCUUCCCUCUACUCCCUCACCCUCUACUUCCCGUCCACUUCCCCUCCUUCCACUUCUUCUCAUCUUUUAUCACCUCCUCCUCCUCCAUCUCUCCUCCUCUUUCCUGUCUUCUACCCCCCUGCCCCUCUUCUCCACCGUCCUCCUUUUUCUUCUUCAUCCUCCUUCGUGUGUGACAAGUCUCACCACUGGGUGUGGACCAGCCCUGGACUCACAGCGGUCCCCCUGCCUCGGCCUCCCGAGCCGCUGCACCAGCCCUCUUCCCUCACUCCCUUCCUCCCCGCUCCUGCUGUUCCCCUGUCUUCCCGCCCUCCUGCUCCUCUCGCUUUCCUCCCUCAGGAACCCACCUUCGCCUUCUUCCCCCUCCCCUCGCCGCCGGCCUCUUCCCUCCGCUCGCUCUCCUCCCGUUCCUCCCUCCCUUCCUCUCCCAGCCUCGACCCUCCCUUUUCCUCCCUCCCCCCUCCCGUCAUCCCCCGCUUCCUACUCCUCCUCCUGCUGCUUCUCUUCCCUCUUCUUCCCCCCUCCCUUUUCCUGCUCCUAUUCCUCCUCCCUCCCCUCCCUCCCUCUCCCGCCUCCUGCUCUUUCCUCCCCUUUCACCCUCCACCUCCCUGUCGCUCUCCGCUCCUGGUCCGCCCUGCCCCGCUGCGCUCUGUCCUCCCGCUCUGUCUCUCUGCGUCGCCCCUCCCCCUCCGUCAGGCCCGUGCCCCCCACCUGCCCCCAGCCUUGCUCCCCCUCUCAGGCCCUCUCCCUGCCACCGCCCCCCCCCCCUCCUCCUCUGCCACUCUCUCUCCUCCCUUGGUCUCCUUUCUCGCCUUCUGCCUGCUCCUCCCUCUGGUCCCGUCACCCUGCCCCUGGCUGUCCUCCCCGCAGCUCUCUUCCUUGCCCACUUGCUCAACUGUCCUUUCUCCCCGUUUCUGUCUUCUGCUCUUUCUGUCCCACUCCCUGCUGUGAUUCCUGCGCUCUCCCCUCACCUCACCGCCAUCCCUCCCCCUGCUCGGGACCCUGUUUCCCCAGUCUCCGGGAGGCCUCUGUGACACUGUUCUCUCUUUUCUGUCUGUCGGGGAUGCUGGACACCGCCUGGAGGAAUCGGUCACCUGAGGCCCAAGAAACCACAAGAGGAGCCUCAGAGGUUGGAAGGGACCCGCCCAGGUCACACAGCAAAGCAGAGCGUCAGCUCAGAGAGGAUGGGGCGCACAGUGUUUCCAGAGACCCGCGACCCGGGACAGAGGCCUGGCUGGACAGCCCGAGAGCCAGGAACCAGACUGGGGUGUCCUCUGUCCCCACCUGCUGGAGGUGGGUGGAAGUGCAGCCCUGCUGUAUUAGGCAUUGAGAAUGGUGGGACCAAGAGACUGGGCUGGGGAUGUAGCUCCGUGGUGCCACACCUGCCUGGCAAGGUGCAAGGUCCUGAGUUUGAGUCCCAGUACCAAAAAAACAAAUCAAAACAAAGAGACCAACCUGGGGGAGGGACAGGGGCUGCUGAGUGGGUGGAGAGGAGAAUUCCCAAAAUUCCAUACCAAUGAACACUUAUAUUCCUACUAUGCAAACAUCCUGCCCAGUGAGCCUAUUUGCAGCUUAUGCCCCAGCCCCUCCAUGUCCCUUCACAACCCUCAGUGGGUGGAUUCUCGCCUGCAGCCCAUGGAGAGGCAGCUGGGGAAGUGGGUUUGGGCCAUGAGAGCCUGUUGCUCCAUGGACUGGGCCAAGUCAAGCAGGCCCCUUUAGGACAGCACCCCCAUCACACCUUGCUCGAUGGGGGCAGGUCCAAGCUACAGUGCUGGGCCAGCAGCUAGAAGCCCUGGAUGAGCCUAGCUCCUUGUCCAGGGGUCUCCCUGAGGGUCGGAAACCUAUGCAGUUGUUUUCUGAAGCCACUGUGAGGGGGCAGCAGCUUAAACCACUCUAAGGCUGGCUUCUCAUAUCCUUGGACUACACCACACAACCACCUGCUAGGGACACCUGGAUCCAGGAUGACCUCAGAGGAGGUGGAGCUUCCUUGGUGCUGAGAGCACAGAAAGGUGUCUGAGGGGUGUGGCAGGAAGCACGGAGCUCUUCACAUCCUGGGCCCCUGCCUGAAGCCUCAAGGCUGGGAGAGCCCAGGAGAUCUCAAGAGGGCGGAGCUGCACAGGACAGUGGGAGCCCUGGGAGAAGAGGGCAGGCGCCUGGGCCUGAAGCCAGCCUGGUGGCACCUAAUGGGUUCACUCAUUAGGGGCCUCAAGAGCAGGACUCAGGGGCUGGGAUUUUGUGUUGGGGACCAUGGGGGGGGCUGCAGUGAGUUUGGCUCUGGUGUUGAACAUCUGGAAGGACCACUCAGUGGGAACCCCAAGACGGGGAUGUCGGGGGGCGGUGGGCUGAGGGUGCAGGAGGGAGGAGACAGAGAAGGGAUGAGGCCAGGGGCCCUGGAGGGGCAGGCAGAGGUGGCAGCACGCCAGGCAACGAUCCCGCCGUAACUGUCGACCUUACUCACUGUCCCUGAGGCACGGGCACUGCUGGACCAGUGGGGCUGUGGGGCUGAAGCUCAGAGGGUCUGAGCUGGAACCCAGGCUUGGGAAUCUUGGGUAAGCAAGGCUGCUUGAAUCUGGGUGUGGUGGGCAGUGGCUGAGAUAUGGAGCAGCCACAAGGCAGUCUGUGUGUCUGUCACACACACACUAGCUUCCAAGUUCCACCUAGCCCUGUUAUGGCUUGUAUCCAGAUGUCCCCCCCCAAAGCCUCAUGGGCUCAGGUGGCGCUUUCCAGAGCUGGCUGGAUCUAGGAUGUGUGCCACUGGAAUUAAGGGUGUGUGGUAGUCAGUAAGUCCACUGAUUGGCUUAGCAUAGUUCUGGGUGUGGAUGGCACCACCCAAAAGGCAGGUAGCACAAACGGGAUAAAAGGGAAAAGGAAGGUUUGCUUGCUCCUCACUGCCUGCCUACCGUGCCAUGGACUGUUUCUCCUCUGUGAUGCCCCUGUGCCCUACCACCCUGCCCCAAAGCCAGCUGUUGACUGAAAUGUCUGUGAACUGUGAGCUAAAAUAAACUUUCCUCCUUCACCUUUGGGUGUUGGGUAUUUUUGUCCCAGAUACAAGAAAAGUAACUAAGACAGGCCCAUUUGUGUGGACAAAAUCACGCAGGGACAUGGGGACUGGUGCAGUGCUGCUCUGGACACCAGAGACCACCAACGGGGCCAAGGACAUAAGCACUGAGCCACCAAAGUCACAGAAGGGCCGGAAACCUCAGUAACCCUGCUGAGGAAAGUGGGGAGGAAAACACACUUCUGCAGAAUGACUCACCUGAGCAUGUAUGUGUCCAGAACAAUGAUCAGGCGACAGAAAAUGCAGGCAGCCUCCAGGAGGAAACUGGACAGGGGCCUGGGGAUAGCAGACAGCUUCUAGCUGUGGCUCCUACUCUAUCUAUGUCCCCCAACCUGGCCAGAGAAAUCACACCAUGAAUGAGCUCUCCCGGGAUAGUUAAGACCAGGAGGGACGUUAAAUAAGGACAGAGCCGAUGCUGGCUAGGACACACUGCAGGGCAAGUGCUGGCUAGGAAGCACCGGAGCCAGGGCUCAGUCCACCAGACCAAAACAAGACAGCCCCACACACCAGCAAGCCAGGCAGAGGGCUGAGAAGCCUCAGCAGUUCUUGUGGGAUAACCCAGGCCAAGGGAGAGGUGUGGGAAGAAAGCAGGGUCAUAAAUCUGGACCCACCCCAGGCAACUUAGCUACGCAGUGAGACCCUACUCAAAAUAAAUGAGAAUAUAGGGGCCCUCGCUGCUGUCAAGUAACAUGGCUACUAGAGUUGCCGUCUUCCUCAAAAUGCUUGGGCCCAGGAGCCGGUGCUGGUCAUGUCCUUCGCUACUGGCAGCCUCGCUAUAAUUCUGCCCCGACUCAGCCCCUACACCAAAUACUCCAUCAUGGUCAACAAGGCCACGCCCUACAACUACCCAGUGCCCAUCUGAGAUGAUGGGAACAUGCCCAAUG
ensembl:lncRNA